rnacentral:rRNA from 1 species
AGCGAACGCUGGCGGCAGGCCUAACACAUGCAAGUCGAACGAACCUUUCGGGGUUAGUGGCGGACGGGUGAGUAACACGUGGGAACGUGCCUUUAGGUUCGGAAUAACUCAGGGAAACUUGUGCUAAUACCGAAUGUGCCCUUCGGGGGAAAGAUUUAUCGCCUUUAGAGCGGCCCGCGUCUGUUUAGCUUGUUGGUUGAGGUAAUGGCUCACCAAGGCGACGAUCAGUAGAUGGUCUGAGAGGAUGAUCAGCCACAUUGGGACUGAGACACGGCCCAAAAUCCUACGGGAGGCAGCAGUGGGGAAUAUUGCGAAAUGGGCGAAAGCCUGACGCAGCCAUGCCGCGUGAAUGAGGAAGGUCUUAGGAUUGUAAAAUUCUUUCACCGGGGACGAUAAUGACGGUAACCGGAGAAGAAGCCCCGGCUAACUUCGUG